rnacentral:rRNA from 1 species
UACGAAGGGGGCUAGCGUUGCUCGGAAUUACUGGGCGUAAAGGGCGCGUAGGCGGCCUGUUAAGUCGAACGUGAAAUCCCCGGGCUCAACCCGGGAACUGCGUCCGAUACUGGCAGGCUUGAAUUCGGGAGAGGGAUGUGGAAUUCCAGGUGUAGCGGUGAAAUGCGUAGAUAUCUGGAGGAACACCGGUGGCGAAGGCGGCAUCCUGGACCGAGUAUUGACGCUGAUGCGCGAAAGCCAGGGGAGCAAAGCGGG